rnacentral:rRNA from 1 species
UACGGGGGGGGGCAAGCGUUGUUCGGAAUUACUGGGCGUAAGGGGCGCGUAGGCGGUUUGUUAAGUUGGAUGUGAAAACUGUGGGCUCAACCCAUAGCCUGCAUCCAAUACUGACAGGCUAGAGUUCUGGAGGGGAUAGCGGAAUUCCUGGUGUAGCGGUGAAAUGCGUAGAUAUCAGGAGGAACACCGGUGGCGAAGGCGGCUAUCUGGACAGAGUCUGACGCUGAGGCGCGAAAGCUAGGGGAGCAAACAGG